rnacentral:rRNA from 1 species
ACACGUAGGAGGCAAACGUUAUCCGGAUUUACUGGGCGUAAAGCGCGUGUAGGUGGUUCUGUAAGUAGGGCGUGAAAGCUCCCGGCUCAACUGGGAGAGGCCGUUCUAAACUGCAGAACUAGAGGAUGGUAGAGGGAGGUGGAAUUUCAGGUGUAGCGGUGGAAUGCGCAGAUAUCUGAAGGAACACCAGUGGCGAAAGCGGCCUCCUGGACCAUUCCUGACACUCAGACGCGAAAGCUAGGGUAGC